ACGCUGGCGGUAGGCUUAACACAUGCAAGUCGUGCGAGAAAGUAUCUUCGGAUAUGAGUAAAGCGGCGGACGGGUGAGUAACGCGUAGGAAUCUACCUAGUAGAAGGGGAUAGCCCGGGGAAACUCGGAUUAAUACCGUAUACCUCCUUUGGGAGAAAGAGGGCCUCUCUUUGAAGCUUUCGCUAUUAGAUGAGCCUGCGUAAGAUUAGCUUGUUGGUGGGGUAAAGGCUCACCAAGGCGACGAUCUUUAGCGGGUCUGAGAGGACGAUCCGCCACAUUGGGACUGAGACACGGCCCAGACUCCUACGGGAGGCAGCAGUGGGGAAUAUUGGACAAUGGGCGCAAGCCUGAUCCAGCCAUACCGCGUGUGUGAAGAAGGCCCUAGGGUUGUAAAGCACUUUAAGUUGGGAAGAAAAGUUAUUGGUUAAUACCCAAUAACCGUGACAUUACCAUCAGAAUAAGGACCGGCUAAUUCCGUGCCAGCAGCCGCGGUAAUACGGAAGGUCCAAGCGUUAAUCGGAAUUACUGGGCGUAAAGCGCGCGUAGGUGGUUUAUUAAGUUGGAUGUGAAAUCCCCGGGCUCAACCUGGGAACUGCAUCCAAAACUGAUUCACUAGAGUACGAUAGAGGGAGGUAGAAUUCACAGUGUAGCGGUGGAAUGCGUAGAUAUUGUGAAGAAUACCAAUGGCGAAGGCAGCCUCCUGGAUCUGUACUGACACUGAGGUGCGAAAGCGUGGGUAGCGAACAGGAUUAGAUACCCUGGUAGUCCACGCCGUAAACGAUGUCAACUAGCUGUUGGAAAACUAUGUUUUUCAGUGGCGCAGCUAACGUAGUAAGUUGACCGCCUGGGGAGUACGGCCGCA
rnacentral:rRNA from 1 species